GUCAGUGUGACAUAGUGGUUUGAGCACUGGACGAUGACUCUGGUGACCAGGGUUCGAUUCCCAGCUUGUCC